rnacentral:rRNA from 1 species
GAUGAACGCUGGCGGCGUGCCUAAUACAUGCAAGUCGAGCGAACGGACGAGAAGCUUGCUUCUCUGAUGUUAGCGGCGGACGGGUGAGUAACACGUGGAUAACCUACCUAUAAGACUGGGAUAACUUCGGGAAACCGGAGCUAAUACCGGAUAAUAUUUUGAACCGCAUGGUUCAAAAGUGAAAGACGGUCUUGCUGUCACUUAUAGAUGGAUCCGCGCUGCAUUAGCUAGUUGGUAAGGUAACGGCUUACCAAGGCAACGAUGCAUAGCCGACCUGAGAGGGUGAUCGGCCACACUGGAACUGAGACACGGUCCAGACUCCUACGGGAGGCAGCAGUAGGGAAUCUUCCGCAAUGGGCGAAAGCCUGACGGAGCAACGCCGCGUGAGUGAUGAAGGUCUUCGGAUCGUAAAACUCUGUUAUUAGGGAAGAACAUAUGUGUAAGUAACUGUGCACAUCUUGACGGUACCUAAUCGGAAAGCCACGGCUAACUACGUGC